CAAAUAGGAUGAGAGGAACACAUCUUUUUCUCUCAACCAAACUAAACUAGCCAAUCAGAAGUAGAAUGGGGCGGGUCUUUAAGUGUGGUUGAGAGAUCCAGCUGCAGGUACCGAGCGGAGACCGGAGAUGUCACGUAGCAAGGAAACGUAGUCCGCAGGAUGGAAAACAACAAACCAAAGGAUGAGGACUGCAGCAUUGCUUGGGCUGCCGUGAUACAUGCGAGAGACUCCAUCUAAAUUCAUGAAGAUAUGCGAGCCCAGUGACCAUGAAGAGGAUGUGAUCAAGGGCGUGGUGAUCGGAAUCCUAGUGGUUGUGGAAAAUGCGGAGCCUUUUCCAGAAUUCUACAAUGACGUUGCCCUGGUGAUUGAGGAAGAAGUGGUGAUGCAUCACCCUGAGUGACAUACCUAAUGCUUUUCUGAACCUGAUUGGCCUGGUGUACGCAUUAAACCUUGACUAUCCAAAGGAAUUAAAAUUCACUUUUGAAGUGAUACAGCGCCUGUUCAUUGGAGUUGGAUCACACUCUUGCACCGCAAGAGUUCACUCUUUGAAGAGCAAGUUGCUGAGAUAAGAAACUAUUUUCUUCUCCUUGUUACUAUAAGCAUUUACAGUGUUACACUGUUUUAAAGUUUAAGACCAUUGUUAUUUUAGAUAUUAUUGUUUUAAAGGGAUACUCCAUCGUUUUGUCAUAUUAAACUGUUAUUACCUUAAAGCAAUAGUUCACUUUGAAAUUAAAUUCUAAUGUUUUAGCUUACCUCAAGGGCAUCCAAGAUGUAGGUGUCUUUGUUUCCGUGGUAGUUUCACUUUUGAUGUUUUUAGGUCAAACUGUUGUUGUCUGUCAGUCAUAUAAUGCAGGUCUAUGGUCACUUGGUAAACAUAACCUCAAAGAGCAUUCACAGUGAAGUCCAAAUUAAACAACUGUCCAUCGUAAGUACACAUUGAUGGCCUUAGACACGAAACGAGCGGUUUGUGUGAGAAAACGAACACUAUUUACAUUGUUUUUGCCCCUUGUACACAACCGCGUCUGUGCUUAGUCUGCGCAUGCGCCGGAAGUGAUCUCGCACGUGUACGUCACUCAUUGUUUACACAGAACAGAGAUUGUAGGUAAGACAGCUAAUAGAAAUUGUACUAAUUUGUGCUUAUCCGGGAUGUUUAAACCGACAUGAAAGAAAACAAUUACGUAUGCUCGCGCGAACUCAUCCAGGAGAUCACUUCCGGCGCAUGCGCAGACUAAGCACAGACGUGGUUGGGUACAAGGGGCAAAAACAAUAUAAAUAGUGUUCGUUUUCUCACACAAACCGCUCGU